UCCAGACUCCUACGGGAGGCAGCAGUGGGGAAUAUUGCACAAUGGGGGGAACCCUGAUGCAGCGACGCCACGUGGGUGAAGGAGCACCUCGGUGCGUAAAGCCCUAUCGGCAGGGAAGAAACAGACGGUACCUGACUAAGAAGCCCCAGCUAACUACGUGCCAGCAGCCGCGGUAAUACGUAGGGGGCAAGCGUUAUCCGGAUUCACUGGGUGUAAAGGGAGCGUAGACGGCGACGCAAGUCUGGAGUGAAAGCCCGGGGCCCAACCCCGGGACUGCUCUUGGAACUGCGUGGCUGGAGUGCAGGAGGGGCAGGCGGAAUUCCUGGUGUAGCGGUGAAAUGCGUAGAUAUCAGGAGGAACACCGGUGGCGAAGGCGGCCUGCUGGACUGCAACUGACGUUGAGGCCCGAAAGCGUGGGGAGCAAACAGGAUUAGAUACCCCUGUA
rnacentral:rRNA from 1 species